AUUUCUUAGUAUAGAAGGUAAACACUUUUUUAUGGGGUAAAAUGACUAGUCUUAAUUUGCCUUAGAAACACAAGAUGAAAGGUUCUGAAAGCAGGCUGGGAUGCAGACAACAUGGGGUGUGGCCUUGAAAAUGGCAGAGCCACCAGUGGAAUUAUUGUUACCUGAAUGAACAUUUCAGAGGGAUCUACCCACCAAUCAAGAACAUCAAUUUAGAAAUUAUGUGAAUCACAAAUGAGUUUUUAUUGCAUUCAAGUCAUUCUGUUUCGAAUUUUCUUAUGUUUGUGACCUUAACUAAUAUACUAUGUGAUAAAUAUUGAAUUACUCUU